AAAAAGUAUUUAAUUAUAAACUACAUAAAAAUAUACAUACAAGAUGUCCGAACAAAAAAAGAAAAAACUACAAUAAGUAGUCUUCUAGGUUUAAUACAUCAAACUACUAGGUAUCAGUUGGAUGAAAUGGCUGGGAAGUCGAAGGUGGAACAAGAUGAGGUGAUGGCAUCUGGAUUUGAAGACCGGACAUCGCUAAGGCCUGUAGAAUCAUAUUCAUCUUGUCUUCCGGGGUCCUAACCUAAGCCUUCAUCUGCUCGUUCUGAACCCUCAUUCUGGGCCUUUAUCUGCUCGUCCUGGGCUGCUCACUACAUGUGCUCUAGUCAUCCCGGAGAUGACAGCAGGAGACAUAAUGAUUUUAACAAACAUAUAACGCAACCUUCCACCUGAUUCGAGGCAGAAGAAUAACAAAAUUAUGUUAACAACCAACUAGGCAGUAAUCACCGAAAACAUAUCCAAAUACACUAGUACUCUCUGUUCAUUCUUCCAUUUAACAGCAUGCCAUUUCAGCAGUUUAAACAAAACUUGACAUAUGCCCGAUCAGUAAUUUAGCACUUGUCAAGCAACUUGCGUAAUAAACUUAGCUGAGUUACGCUUAUAUACAAAAUAACAAGCUGGUGAAUAUGCAAACAACAAUGUAACACCUGUAAUCCCACCCCACCCACCCCUGACCAAACCUCACUUAAUUCAGAAGACCAAGAGACACAUACAAUUUAAUUGCAAUUUAGUAAUUGUGGUAAGUUUAAUCCCAACUAGUUUUCCUUGUAACUUCGCCGCAAAAAUGAAUUACAUUUUUAUAUAAGUGAAAAAUAAUAACAAACCUGAAAGGUUUCCCUGAUUAAUGAAUACUCCAAGCCAUGCUCUCUUUCAACAGGGCAUGAUAUUCUUCUUCUUAAGCCAUCUACACGGGUGAGGUUCAAAUCUAGGUACUAAAGAAAAGAAGCUCAAUGAACAAAGAUAUUAAAAAAUAUUGUCACAUGUUUAGAUACAAAGACAGAAAGACAAAUCAAUUAUAAGAACAUAUGUACCUCAUCAAGGGUUAAAGUGCAUAGCAGAGACUUCUCAAAGACUUGAGGACGAGCAACAAUUUAAAAGGUACUCUACACAUUUUUCAAGAAAUCAUAAUGGAAUUGUAUUUCUAUUGGUUCAUUUUUGGUUUGGUAAAGGCAUCCACUGGAGUUGUAUUGAAAAUUGAGUCUUCACUGGAGAAUAUUCUGGCUGAGACUGGAGACCAAGUCUAAUGAGAAGCAAAGCCCAAUAGUAAGUUACCUAUUGGCUCUACAGUUUAAUGUACUAGUUCCUUAACACACGAAACAUGUCAAGAGUAAAAUUUUUGGCAUUUCUUUAAAUUCAAAGCUGAAUAGUGCCCAUUCAUCCCUCACUGUAAACCAAAACCCUCGCCCUCCUUUUCUUACAUAUAUCAUAUUAAGGGAAAUUUUGAAAAGAAAAGGCAAUUACAUAAUAGCAACGUCAGGAAUACCAUAUUAAAACCAUUCAAAGAAGGAAACCCCACAAGUAGGUGAGGCUGCUGAGAAACUGCUGUUUACAAGUAGGUGAGGGACAGUGAUAGGCUCACCCUCAAGCUAAUUUAUACGGAGCAGCAAAGAACGUCAAGCCGGAACCGUCUGCAGGAACCGUCAAGCCUUGGAGAUUUUGACAAGCAGGAACCGUCUGCACACAGAGGGAGAAAAACACCACACAAGAACGUCAAGCCUUCGAAUGUUGGAGACUCAAUUGCUAUUUCAACCAAACCAACAUUUGCAUAAAUUAAUCAGUAAAACCCAUCUCAUAAAAUCAGAGAUAUUGAGAGUUAUUGGAGACUAAACAAAACCCAUCUCAUAAUCAUAAAUUAAUCAGUCAAGCCUUCGAAUGUUGAAGCCUUCGAACGUCAAGCCUUCGAAUGUUGGAGACUAAACAAAACCCAUCUCAUAAAAUCAGAGAUAUUCAUAAAUUAAUCAGUAACCAGAGACCAACAUUUGCAUCAGGUGAGCUAAAUUCAAUAAAUUAAUUAAAUCAAUUCAACCUUAAUUUUGCAUCAGACCAACUAAAUUCAGUAACCAGGCCAACAUUUGCAUCAGCUAAAUUCAGUAACCAGACCAACAUUUGCAUCAGAAACCCUUACCUUGAAUUUGAGACUUGAUUCGCGUCGGCUUCGAGAUUCGUGUGGCUGCGGUUCUGGGUUCAAGAUUUGGGGAUCAAGGCGAAAAGGAGAGAUAGAGGAGAUGAGGACUACGGGAAGAGUAGAUGAGGAUUAUGGAAAGGGGAGAUAGAGUGACGGGGAAGAUAGAGCGAGAGGGCGAGAGGGAAAGAUAGAGCGAGAGGGAGAUACGGGAAAGGGGAAAGGGGAAAGGUGAAGCAUUUGCGGAUCCACAAUUAAGAAAUUUUCUUUUGCUGCAACUAAUUGGGAUGAAGGAUUAUGCGGGGAAAGAUGAAGAUUAUGCGAAAGGGGAAGAGUAGAUGAGGGAAAGAUAGAGCGAGAGGGAGAUACGGGAAAGGGGAAAGAUGAAGGAUUAUGCGAAAUGGAAGGGGAGAUACGGGAAAGAAAGAGCGAAAGGGAAGAAAUAGGUCAACGGGAUCAGAGCCAAAAAUUUUCAUUAUUCACCUAUUUUUCAUUAUUCACCGCCAAAAUUAUCAACUGGCGUGACGUAGGUAUACAAUUUGAUGUCAUGCAAAGUGAUUUUGCGCGACGAUUACAUUAAAGCGUCACGCAAGUUAUUUUUAUUUUUAUAAAAUUAUUAAAAAUUUUACUGAAAAUGUGACUUUACUCCUUUCAAGUUCAAUUUUUUUUUUACUUAAACCCCACAAUAAUAUAUUUUUCUAACAAAAACCCAUAAUAAUUUAUUAACAUAUAUAUCAUUCAAUCUCUUAAGUGUUAUAACUACAAAAUAAAUAAAUUAAAAGGAAAAUUAAUGAAAAGAGCUUGAAAACUUUGAGUUUUAAUGAUAAGGACAAAAUAAAGGGUAAAGUGAAUAGUACUAGGAUUGACUUUUUAGUGUAAAAAUGUGGUUUUUCGUUAAAGUGAACAGUACCUGGUGCUUUUCGUUAAAGUUCCCUAAAUUAAAAUCUACUUAGUAAAUAUAUAUACCACUGAACUUGCUAGGAAACGCAUUGUACGAAAAUAUUUUGAACGAUCCAACCGUCAAACUUGUUUGUAUAUGAUUCGAUAUCGCGUACGCCAAAAAUGGCAACAAACGAACAUGCAAAUAUCAAGUAACGGGGACAAAAUAUUUCGACGGUUAUAAACGAAAAAUCACGAUUUAACGGUACAUUUAAGUGGAUACCACAAAAUCUUAAGUUAUACUUAAUGAAAAUAUAAUUAAACUCUAAGUGUUAGUAAAUCAAUCGUUUUGAUGGGAAACGCAUUGUACGAAAUUAAUUUCAACGAUCCAACCGUCAAAAAUGUUUUUAUAUGCUUUAAGAUCUCAUACGCCAAAAAUGGAAAAAAACGAACAUGCAUAGAUCAAGUAACGGGGACAAAAUAUUUCGACGGUUACAAACAAAAAAUCACGAUUUAACGGUACUUUUAACUCCGAUUUUGAUGAUGUUUUACAAAUACACUCCUUAGCCCUAUAUGAAUACAAUGAACAUAUUCGAUCGUCAAUUUAAAGUAUUUACACAAGUGGAUACCACAAAAUCUUAAGUUAUACUUAAUGAAAAUAUAAUUAAACUCCAAGUGUUGGUAAAUCAAUCGUUUUGAUGGGAAACGCAUUGUACGAAAUUAAUUUCAACGAUCCAACCGUCAAACAUGUUUUUAUAUGCUUCAAGAUCUCAUACGCCAAAAAUGGAAAAAAACGAACAUGCAGAGAUCAAGUAAUAGGACAAAUAUUUCGACGGUUAUAAACGAAAAAUCACGAUUUAACGGUACUUUUAACUCCGAUUUUGAUGAUUUUUUUACAGAUACACUCCUUGACCCUAUAUGAAUACAAUGAACAUAGUCGAUCGUCAAUUUAAAGUAUUUACACAAGUGGAUACCACAAAAUCUUAAGUUAUACUUAAUGAAAAUAUAAUUAAACUCUAAGUGUUAGUAAAUCAAUCGUUUUGAUGGGAAACACAUUGUACGAAAUUAAUUUCAACGAUCCAACCGUCAAAAUGUUUUUAUAUGCUUCAAGAUCUCAUACGCCAAAAAUGGAAAAAAAUGAACAUGCAGAGAUCAAGUAACGGGGACAAAAUAUUUCAACGGUUACAAACAAAAAAUCACGAUUUAACGGUACUUUUAACUCCGAUUUUGAUGAUUUUUUACAA
rnacentral:lncRNA from 1 species